AUUGCACGCUAGCGGGAUGCUUUACACAUGCAAGUCGAACGAGUGGCGGACGUGUUAGUAAUAUAUCGGAAAGUGCCCAGUAGCGGGGGAUAACUACUCGAAAGAGUGGCUCCUACCGCCUACUAUGGGAGCUGCCGAUAUCGGAUUAUCUAGUUGGUGGGGUAAAGGCUCACAAAGGACACGAUCCGUAGCUGGUUUGAGAGGACGACCAGGCAAACGGGGACUGUGAAACGGCCCAGACUACGACGGGAGGCAGCAUUGGGGAAGUUUGGACAAGGGGGGAAACCCUGAUCCAGCCAUCCCGCGUGUAUGAGAAGGCCUUCGGGUUGUAAAGUACUUUUGGCAGAGAAGCGGUAUCUGCAGAAUAAGCACCGGCUAACUACGUGCCAGCAGCCGCGGUAAUUC
rnacentral:rRNA from 1 species